rnacentral:lncRNA from 1 species
GGUGGAAUUUGGGGGUUAGCCAGUGGAGACAGACGAGAGACACUUUGCAGCGUUUAGCAGGUUACAGUGAAGAACUUUCUUUAACCACAGAAACCUGGAGUAGAACCAGACUGAUGUCAGACAGUCAUCUGUGAAUCCACCUCAGCUAAAGAUGGUGAUGAAUUCCUCCCGUUUCCAUAUCUAUGAUCACUCACUUAUUCAUGUUUCUUAAUAAAGAAAUAAGGGAGAAGUCUCAUGAUGAUUGCAUGUACAGGGAGUGUAGGCGCUGCAUCGUCACAUGGAACAAAAUAGAUAUCGAGGACGUUGGUGAGGAGCAAGAAAAGUGUUUCUGUCCUGCAGACCUCAAGUUGCACGGCCAUGCUGACGUCCUGAUCGUGUAGAGCAGCUGAUGAACCCAGCAGUAGAUAUCAACCUUCAAGUCUCAACCUGGAUUACCGUGCACCUUGCAAUUUUUAUCAAGUAAAUCAAACUGAGACGAACUUCUGCAAAAGCUCUCCAGACCCGUGGGUAUGUGAGAAAAUCUAUCAGUUUCUCGGGGGAAUUCAGGGACAAGAAGGGAACUUCACAGAUGAGUCACAAACAAAAAUAAAAAGGAAUGUGUUUAAUAAACGCUUUGUUUAAAUCGUUCCAGAUGGAAACAAAUCAACAUUGCCCAAGUGGAAAAACAUCGUCCUUUUUCUUUUUUUUUGAGCAAUGAAAACAAGUCAUGGAAAAAGUCUCAACCUUCUUCUUUGUCUUUUUUACACCUUCUUCUCCAAACUUUCCUCACACUCUUCCCUGUCUGAGAGAAAAAAGCAGAAACACCUUAUUUUAGGAGGUAAAAAAGGGGGAAGGAGAGGUGGAAAGUCCCUUUAAGGAUUCAGGUCAGUUACUUCCACAUGUCCGAUCUCUCUCUGACCGUCUGACUCAAGCUGCUAUCAUACAGCUGAGACACCAGUCAGGUGAUGAACGCGGCCAGCUGAUUAUGUGCAAGAAGACAAAAGUUAUGAGCUUGAACAUGUCUGUUUCUGUCUGUAAAUGAUUUUAGCAGACAUGUGAAGAAGACGACAGGCUGGUUUAGUGAGGAACAUCUACUGUUUGGCGUGUAGUUGUAAGGUUUCUCCUCCACUACGCUGACGAUACUCUGCUAUUCAUGAUGGAGUCUUUACUUUGAACAUCUGUUAAGAUUUAAAGUGUUUUUAAAGUGUAUUAAUACAGACAGUCAGUAGAAUGCAUGAAGCAUUGAGAGAAGCAAAGAUUCAAGAUGCAGUCUCCAGACUCAGUAAACAAUAAAAUAUGAAAUGCAUCGACUGAAUAAAGACUGAGAUGUUUGAGGACACACAUGGCAAAUCUCGUGAUUAAAAUGUUUCAAAGUUCAGGUCUUUGGCUUCAGUUUUGACCCUUUUUCCUACCUUUAUUAGGGCCAGAGUAAAACGUGGAGCAACAGCCUUGUUUGAACCCGAAAUAAAAAAGAGAUGAAUAGAUUAAUUUGUUUAUUUAUCUAUUCCUUUUUCCCUUUCUGCCGUUCUUCCAGCCUUCCUACCUAAACGAGCCCAAAUCUUUCAGUUUAAAUGGGCUCCAAAACUCACCAAACUUCAGUCAUGCAUUAGGCCUGUUGAAAAAUUUGAUAUUUUACAGGUUUUGCAAAAUCGCUUGCUCAGUAGCACCCCCUACAGUUCAGCCUAGAUGCGUGACUUUUGCAAGGUACAUGAAUGAUGCAAAAAUCCUCUUGAACCCAUCCUCUAAUCCACCAAGAAGCGACGUAAAAUUUGUCUGAUGUUGCAGACAAACUUUGGGGUUCAAAAUUAUCAAAGAAUUUCCCGUGUUUUCAGAAGGUGGUCGAAGCAGCGCGUCAAACUCUAAUAGCGUAACAGGAAGUUACUGUAACAUUUCCACACAGUGUCCGAUCUCAGUGAUAUUUCAUCAACACGAUCGAAGUCAACCCCUAAACACAAUGACUUCAGUUAUAACGCCACCCUGUGGGAUAGCAUGGUACUAGCUCCCCCGGUACAAUAUCCAAUCAUGUCCAGAUUUCACGGUCCAAGCGUACUCUGAUCUUCUUAGACACUCUUGUUGUAGUUAUGGUGCCAUCUAUGUUUUACCUCCCACUUGCACCAUUAAACUUUUUUUUGCCAUUAAAAUUCAUAAAUAUUUGAGCUUGGUUAAAUUUAUAGCUGGUAGAAGUUGAUGUUUGGGCUUUAAAUUGAACAUGCAUGCUGAAAGUCAUGGGCUGGAAGGUGGACCUAAAGGUGCAGUGAGCAGCUUCUUAAUAUCAUAUGGUUGGGACAUACCCCAAUGUGUGCAAAGGUGCAAGGUGCUUGAAUUUAGCGCCUUAUUUAAGGUUUGGGCACAUAAACAGGUCAGUUCAACUCAACCCAAAGAUGUUCACUGGAGUUCUUACCCAGCUCUGCAGGUAGAAAGUCUGGCAUAACUGCCCUUUCUGCUAAAUUGACUCGUAAAGUAGUUACUUUGAAUCUGAUAUCUGGUUAUUUUACAGGGCGUCUAGUUAAAAUUAGCGAUUUUAAGGAACAAAGGAUCAGUAUUAGACAACCAGAGGAUGAGAACAAGUUUCACUUCCUCACUGAGCUCUAACAGAAAGCAUUGAAAUGAAAAAAAUAACAGCAAAGGUUAAAGAUGAUGUCGGUCUGAUCUGACAGAGUUAUGGAAGUGGUGGCACUGAGGUCUGUGUCAUUAGUAGAAAGUCACAGAGUGUUUUUACCGCAGCAUUUACAGCCUGAUUUGUUUUUCAAAUGCAUGUUUAUGGAAAAAUGAUUUUCUACCAAGUGUAGAGGGGAGGAUGUUUGGAGAAAAGGGACUUUUUCCUGAAAUGUGACUUUUAUCUGCGCCUGUAGGCCGAGCGAGGGAGCGAGCGGAUUUGAUUUCUUCUUUCUGAUUGAACUGCCGCCUCGUCGUCAGGGUGGUGAUCUGAGGUUUCUGGUUGUUCUGUUUUCUUGUAAACCGUCAGUCAGGGUUAACUACACCUACACAUUAUAUCGAGGGUGUGUGUUUCUGCAAAGUGCAGAUAUGUUUGCAGAAGUGUAUAAACACACUUUACUGUCUGAACUGUGUGUUCAGACCGUCUUUGUGUGAUUGUGUGAGUUUCUGUGUGUAGAUGAGGUUCAGGCGAUGACUGUACAGGAGAUUAAACCUCAGAUCACCUUCAAUAAUGAGGUUAAAUCAUGAGAAAGGUCAUUUAUCCACUGGAAGGGCAUCCAGAAGGCAUGUUUUUAGCCGUCUUAUGUCAGAAAUACUUCCAGAGUGUUCUGUUAUAUUUCUAAUAAAAGGAAAGAGUUUUUUUUUUAGUUUUUAUCUGAUGGAAACUCAAAAAAGGAAUUAGAAACUCUGGAAGGGCAUCCACUAUUUUAGAUUUUGAUGAUGGAAAGGCAUCCGGGAAGCA